AUAAUAAUAUAAAAUACUGGCGGAAAUUCCUAAGCAACUCUUACAAAGCGAGUUGCUGGCCCUGCAGCAACUAUUAUGGAAUUUGAGCAACGUCACUAGUGCUGGUGGCACAAAUAACAGCACCUGGUACAUAAUGUAAAGUGGUUUGCGUUAGGAAGGGCAUCCAGCCAUUGAAACCAAGCCAAAGCAGACAAUUGGGGCACAAUGCAAUCGUUGGGGCCCUCACAUACUGUCCUAUGCCUGCAUGGACCAUUAACUGAUGAUGACGACAAUGGUGGUAGUGGUGAUGGUGGUGAUGACGAUGAUGACAACACCAAUGGCGCUGAUAGACCCUCCAGCCUUCAUCAGGUGUCUUGGGGAAAUUUCCAACCUGGGUUCUCAUUCCUAAG